UACGGGGGGAGCAAGCGUUGUUCGGAUUUACUGGGCGUAAAGGGCGCGUAGGCGGCGCAACAAGUCACUUGUGAAAUCUCCGGGCUUAACCCGGAGCGGUCAAGUGAUACUGUCGUGCUAGAGUGCAGAAGGGGCAACUGGAAUUCCUGGUGUAGCGGUGAAAUGCGCAGAUAUCAGGAGGAACACCGGUGGCGAAGGCGGGUCUCUGGGCCGAUACUGACGCUAAAGCGCGACAGCAUGGGGAGCAAACGGG
rnacentral:rRNA from 1 species